GUGAAAGCUUCUUCCGAUGCUAAUGUAGGCACAGCGAGACUUGGAGGCCGAGAUGAGGAGGCUGAAACUGGAGCUGAAGCAGACGAUGGAGAUGUACAGUACAGCCUGCAAGGAAGCCAUCUCAGCCAAACAAAAGGUGAAAGUCUUGACCAACUGAGGGAUGCGGUCGGUGAUAAUAAGCUCACGAGGCGCCGUGAUGCAGGCGAAAGAGCUUCACCAAUGGAAGCUGGAAGAAGCCCGCAGGGUGGAGGAAGCAAAGCAUGCCGAGGAGAUGGCCCUUGCACUGGCAGAAAUGGAGAAAGCCAAAUGCAAAGCCGCGGUAGAGAUGGCGGAAGCGGCGCAGCGGAUUGCGGAGCAGGAGGCGAGAAAGAGGAUGAACGCGGAGAUGAAGGCCAAGCGCGAAGCAGAGGAGAAGGUCAAAGCGUUGGAUGCCUUGGCCAUGACCGACCUCCGGUACCGGAAGUACAGCAUCGAAGAG
rnacentral:lncRNA from 1 species